UGCGUAGGCGGACUAAUAAGUCAGUGGUGAAAUCUCUCGGCUCAACCGGGAAACUGCCAUUGAUACUGUUAGUCUUGAGUUCGGUUGAGGUAGGCGGAAUGUGUAAUGUAGCGGUGAAAUGCUUAGAUAUUACACAGAACACCAAUUGCGUAGGCAGCUUACUAGACCGACACUGACGCUGAGGCACGAAAGCGCGGGUAGCGAACAGGAUUAGAUACCCUGGUAGUCC
rnacentral:rRNA from 1 species